rnacentral:rRNA from 1 species
AUACGUAGGGGGCGAGCGUUGUCCGGAAUGAUUGGGCGUAAAGGGCGCGUAGGCGGCGCGGUAAGUCUGGAGUGAAAGUCCUGCUUUCAAGGUGGGAAUUGCUUUGGAUACUGCCGCGCUUGAGUGCAGGAGAGGUUAUCGGAAUUCCCGGUGUAGCGGUGAAAUGCGUAGAGAUCGGGAGGAACACCAGUGGCGAAGGCGGGUAACUGGACUGCAACUGACGCUGAGGCGCGAAAGUGUGGGGAGCAAACAGGAUUAGAUACCCUGGUAGUCCACACUGUAAACGAUGAAUGCUAGGUGUAAGAGGUAUCGACCCCUUUUGUGCCGGAGUCAACACAAUAAGCAUUCCGCCUGGGGGGUACGGCCGCAAGGUUGAAACUCAAAUGAAUUGACGGGG